UGGGGAAUAUUGCACAAUGGGCGCAAGCCUGAUGCAGCCAUGCCGCGUGUGUGAAGAAGGCCUUCGGGUUGUAAAGCACUUUCAGCGAGGAGGAAGGGUAGUGUGUUAAUAGCACAUUGCAUUGACGUUACUCGCAGAAGAAGCACCGGCUAACUCCGUGCCAGCAGCCGCGGUAAUACGGAGGGUGCAAGCGUUAAUCGGAAUUACUGGGCGUAAAGCGCACGCAGGCGGUUUGUUAAGUCAGAUGUGAAAUCCCCGCGCUUAACGUGGGAACUGCAUUUGAAACUGGCAAGCUAGAGUCUUGUAGAGGGGGGUAGAAUUCCAGGUGUAGAGGUGAAAUGAGUAGAGAUCUGGAGGAAUACCGGUGGCGAAGGAGGAAAAAUGGAAAAAGACUGACGCUCAGGUGCGAAAGCGUGGGGAGCAAACA
rnacentral:rRNA from 1 species